AGCGAUUAAUGGCGGGUUAAUGCGUGAUUUAUUAGCCAUUAAUGACGGCGUUAAUUGGUAGUUAAUUAGCCAUUAGUGGCGGCGUUAUUUGGUGGUUAAUUAGAUAUUAAUGGCGGCGCUAAUUGGUGAUUAAUUAGUGAUUAAUGGUGGCGUUAAUUAACGAUUUAUUAGCGAUUAAUGGGAAAUGUAGGAGAGCGAUAAUUAAUGAUUAAUAAGCGGUUCAUAGCGGCGUUAAUUAAGGAUUAAUAAGCGGUUAAUGACAGCGUUAAUUGGGGAGUAAGUAGAGAUUAAUGGCGGCGUUAAUUGGUGAUUUAUUAGCGAUUAUUGUUGGAGUUAAUUAAUGAUUAUUUAGUGAUUAAUGAUAGCGUUAAUUAACGAUUCAUUAGAGAUUAUUGAGAGGCUAAUGGCAGCGUUAAUUACUGAUUUAUUAGCAGUUAAUGACAGGGUUAUUGAAUUGUUAAUUAGCGAUUAAAGGGAGAUUAUUAACUGUGUUAAUUAAGGAAUAAUAGGUGGUUAAUUACAGCCUUAAUGACUGAUUAAUGAGUGACCAAUGGGAUAUUAAUGAGCAACUAAUGAGAGAUUAAUGGGGGAAAAAUUGGAAAUUUUGGGAGAAAAAUUUGGGAAUUUUGGGGGAAAAUUCUGGGGAUUUUGAGGGGAGGAAAUUUGGGAAUUUUUGGAGAAAAUCUUGGGAAUUUUGGGGGGGAAAAUUUGGGAAAUUUUGGGGCGGGAAAUUUGGGAAUUUUUGGAGGGAAAAAUUUGGGAAUUUGGGGGGAAAAUUUCGGAAUUUUGGGAGGGAAAAUUGGGAAUUUUGGAGAGAAAAUUUUGGGGGAAAAAAUUGAGAAUUUUGUGGGAAAAUUUUUGAGAAUUCUGGGGAAUCUCAGGGGGAAAAUUUUGGGAAUCUGAAAUUAAAAUUUAAUUAAAACAGGAAACGACGCGUUCAGGUGUGUCCAGGUGCGUUUAUUGCUCGGGGUGGGGCAGUGGGCGGGGCCACAUUUGCAUACCCGGGCCACGCCCACUCCUCACCUGGGGCUCAUUUGCAUACCCGGGCCACGCCCGUUUCACACCUGGGCCACACCCAUUCACACCUGGGAGCCAAUCAGAUGCUGGGAACAAUUUGCAGACCUGGGCCACGCCCACUCACAUCUGGGGAUCAUUUGCAUACCUGGGUCACGCCCACUGCACACACCAUGGCCACGCCCACUUCACACCUGGGCCACGCCCACUUCACAUUUGGGCAACGCCCAUUGCACGCCUGGGGCUCAUUUACAUACCUG
rnacentral:lncRNA from 1 species